rnacentral:rRNA from 1 species
CCCUUAGAUGUCCUGGGCCGCACGCGCGCUACACUGAUGCAUGCAACGAGUUUAUAACCUUGGCCUGAAAGGUCUGGGUAAUCUUUUGAACGUGCAUCGUGAUAGGGAUAGAUUAUUGCAAUUAUUAAUCUUGAACGAGGAAUUCCUAGUAAACGCGAGUCAUCAGCUCGCAUUGAUUACGUCCCUGCCCUUUGUACACACCGCCCGUCGCACCUACCGAUUGAAUGGUUCGGUGAAGAUCUCGGACUUCGAUAUUUGUUCUUCAUUGAACUUAUAUAGUGGGAAGUUAUCUGAACCUCAUCAUUUAGAGGAAGGUGAAGUCGUAACA